rnacentral:rRNA from 1 species
CCUACGGGUGGCAGCAGUAGGGAAUAUUGCUCAAUGGGGGAAACCCUGAAGCAGCAACGCCGCGUGGAGGAUGAAGGUUCUAGGAUUUUUAAAUCCCUUUUAUAGAGAAGAUAAUUACGGCAUCUGACGUAUAAGCACCGUCUAACUCCGUUCCAGCAGCCGCGGUAAUGCGCAGGGAGCAAGCGUUACUCGGAAUCACUGGGCGUAAAGAGUGCGCAGGCGGGAUUGUAAGUGGGGUGUGAAAGCCUGGAGCUUAACUACAGAACUGCAGUUGCAACUAGGAGUCUAGAGUGUGGGGGAGGUAGGCGGAAUUCGUGGUGUAGGGGUGAAAUGCGUAGAUAUCAAGAGGAACACUCAUUGCGAAGGCAGCUUACGGAUCCGCGAUUGACGCUGAUGCACGAAGGCGAGGGUAUCGAACAGGAUUAGAUACCCGGGUAGUC